rnacentral:rRNA from 1 species
GACUGUACAAAGGUAGCAUAAUCAUUUGUCUUUUAAUUGAAGUCUAGAAUGAAUGGUUUGAUGAAAAAUAAACUUUCUUUACUUUAUAGGGGGAACUUAAUUUUUUGGUCAAAAAGCUAAAAUUUUUUUAUAGGACGAGAAGACCCUAUAGAACUUUAUUUUUAAUUUAUAUAUUUUGUUUGGUUGAUAUAUUAGAUAUAUAUUGGUUGAAUUUUGUUGGGGUGACGGAAAAAAUAUAAUAACUUUUUCUAUUUUUUUCAUUGUAGAUGGAUUUUUGAUCCUUUUUUAGGGAUGCAAGAUUAAGUUACCUUAGGGAUAACAGCGUUAUUGUUUUAGAGAGUUCAUAUCGAUAAAAUAGUUUGCGACCUCGAUGUUGGAUUAUAAUAAGAUAUGGGAGUAGAAUAUCAUAUUCUGGGUCUGUUCGACCUUUAAAUUUUUACA